UCUGUUUCUAAUCCCAUGGCCACUUUUGGUCGUCAAAUGUUACUUAGAAAACCGGUAAUGAAACUUUUCCCUUUGUUUAUAUAUUCGGGGCCCUACCAAUAAAACUGUAGAACAUAUUUCCAGAGGAGAACGAGUGAAUUUUGUACUUGAGGAAAUCCCAAUAAUUCAAUACAAGAAGUUAAAACUGACCUUUUGCAAUGGAAAUUCCAGACAUUUGUUUAUCUAAAAUAAAUAUGGUUGGCAAAAUUAUAUUUUUCACUCAGUGGAUGCUCGGAAGGUCGGCUAGUCCUCGUAAAUUUAGUGGUAAGGUCACGCCAAGUUGACUUUUUUCGAAUCAAAUUCUCAUGAACAAAGUAGGGCAUCCAAUCAUAUGCCACAAUUGUCUGAUCAAAGCGUCAUCUGUUGGCGCUAUUCAUCAAUUCAUUCAAUCGUUUUAAUGUUUGGUUAAUUUUUUUAAAGAUGUGCAUCGAUUACUUAAUGGUUAUUAUUGGGAUAGGGGUAAAAGUAGAUAAAUAAAUGUAAAAAAUCAAGAGAACGUUUAUGACUCCAGAGGACAGAGUUUCCUUUGAAUACCGCAUGUGGUAAGGAUUACAAUGCUCUCAAGUUCGAAGCACAACAGAUCAUAAAUUAAUCCUUUUCUGGAGACUCUUUCAAACACGUCAUAAACCUUGUCGAGCGAUUUUUGAAGAUAAACAGAAGAGCUGUGUUAUAAUUUUCCACCAGUUAUUAUUACGCAUUACGUAAUGUGAGGACCCUGUAUGUGUGCACGUGAUUAUUUUAUAUAUUCAGUAUUUUGGCGUUUGAAGCAAUAGACCAUUAACUUGUAAAAUCCCAAAGCUCUGUUAUGUCCUAUCAAGUCACUAGUAGGACGGUGGCGCCAUUCACGAAUAUUUGCGCCAAGUUUUAAAAACGUGGAAAUCGUUAGCCGCCAAACCUCUAAUGAGGACUCCAUCGAUGUCAACUCGUUGAAAGGAAAUAGUUGGAUUCAGGUUUUUGCAAAUAAAAUCAAUCCAAACAGCAGAGCUUAGGAGAGCACGUAACACACACUUUAUUCAAUAACUUUUAAAUCUUAAAUUGAGUCUCGAAAUAUUAAUAAACAUUCAGAGAAACUAACAACCAAAACUAGACUGUGAAAUUUGGCGAUUAACUAUUUGAAGAGAGAAGCGGCACAGAAACAAGUUAAAAUCGAACUGCACUAAACUUAACUAAUUUUCCAAGGAUUGGGUCCUACAACUCCCACUAGUCUAAAUGUUGCGCACGCAACUUGGUCCAGAAAAAGGGAAGAGGGGUAGAAUAAGGAAAGCGGUGAAAAGGAAAAUGCAUGACAUCGCGUUUUCUCUGUCAAGGGACUCAGGCCCUCAACUUUCGAUACAAUGGACAAAGAAGACCUCACACGUGUUGAAUCAAAACAUGAGCAAAAACAGAACUGGUGCUUUAUGACUUAGACUGUAUUGAUUCGAAGAUUUAUGAUUUCCUUCUCAAGUUUCAGGUUUGGAGAAAAUGUUUAUCCAACGAAUUUUACGGGUAAAUAAAUGGGAAAGUUAAACUCAAGAGCUUAAGAUUUAUGCGUAACGGUUUUUCCCACACUGGUGGUGUUGUUUUCAUUGUGCGUUGUCCAUUGUCCAUUGUAUCUACUUAUUUUCUGCGUAUUUCGACACUGAUUAAAAAUAUAAGAAAUUAAUUUAAAGAAGAUUAAUUUAAAGAAGAAGAUUAAUAAGAAGUUUAAUAAGAAGAUUAAUUUAAAUUUCGCGGACUAAGAUUAAUCAUAUACAGUGACAUCUACUGGCUAUCAAGCUCAGGACAUCACAGCUCAUCUCCUAGGACAUGUUGUACCGGUAAUGUUGGCUGCUUACGUCCUUCAGUUAGGCCAUGCCAUAAAGUCCCAUUUAAAAUCAAGGGUCAGGUGGUAAUACUAUAACCUGGCCAUCAACUACUUUCGUUUGGGUUGGUUCAUACAACCAAAUUCAUAAGAAAAUUUAACCCUUAAUAUGAGUCCCUCUUGCCAGAGGAAGUAGGCGAGACCCUGAAUGGAUUUGUAAAGUUAGUCGCCAGACCAGUUACAUUUGAACAUUCGAAGGAAGAAGUAGUCGCUUCUAUCUAACCUAUUGUGCAUAUCACGAACCUGUAGUUUUUUCACAUGACGUAGGCCUCGGCAGCAGGUGGUCCAGUAUCCGGAAACAAAUUUUGGAUAAAAAUUAAACCGCUGGAGGGCGAGCCCUUGGGAUGAAAUGAAAAUACCACUUUUUAGGUCAAGUUUCGUUGUAAAAAUUAGUCUUAGGAGUCUAAUUUUUGGGAUAAAACUACCCUUUGUCCCUCCUGUCGCCCCCUGGAGGUCUGAUUUUUAUGUAAAAUCGAGUGGAGUGGAGAAGUGAAACCGACCUUCAAUUAAUUAUUGCUCAUUAUUGGUCGUUGAUUGAUUGGAUUAUGAAUUCAAUUAACCGACUAUAGUUCUGUCUUUUCAACCUUCAAAUUUGAUGCCUGAAGAAGGGUAGGCGGUGUUUCUGGUGAAUUCGAGAGUGAAUUUCUAUAGUAUCCAACUAUCCAGUUGCUCAGUUGGUAAAAGUGCCCGGCGCGAUAUUAGGAGGUCCGGGUUCGAUUGACGGCUGGGUUAAAGCCGAAUUUUUUCCUCUCUAAUUCUAAUUGUCUUCAAACACGUGGAAAACGCGUUGAAAUCCUCAGUGGAAAACACUAUUUUCCUCAAACUAAAAAAUGAUUCAUCUUCUCCGAAUCGAAAUGUCCGCUUUAACAUCGGCCACGAAAAAGUUUUAACUCUAAAUGUCCAUCCCUAACCUAACCUAUGCGAUACUAUACUAUCCUAUACUAUAUAAAUCGUCUAUGCUCUUAGUACUAUAUAAACUAGUAUAUACUACGGUUUAUACUAUACUACUAUAUAUUAUCUUAUCUUCUUAAUCUUAAUAUAUAUAAAUUACGUGUCACGUUGUUUCUCCGCGAUGGACUUUUAGACUACUUAACCGAUUUUAAUGAAAUUUGCACACCGUGUGCAGUUUAAUUCAACUUAAAAGAUAGCAUAGCUUACAUCUUAAUUUAUAGUCGCAAUAUUAUUUUAUUGCAAAUUAUUUGUCUAUUAUUUGACAUUCACACAUAUUCUGAUCUGUUAACUCCAAAAGAUUUUAACAGAUGGCGAUAUCUAUUGACUGGAUUGAGUAAGGAAUCAGUAGAUGGCGCUGCUAUAUGAAACCUACAAAUGUGUCAUAUAAUCUACAAUUCAAUAACAUAACCACCACGUGUUGUUGAGGCUAAAGUACAAGUUAAAUAUAUUUUGUACGAACGUAACGAAAACGAAAUACAGUGAAAUUCAAUUAUUUUUACUUUGAAAUUUUUGGUGUUAGCUUCACCGGCCACGUGUUACUUAAACUGAAGGGUAAAUUAAAUUCAUAUUAUUGUGAAGAUACUAGUGAAGCUCAAAACUCUUCAAUUAAAAUAUAUACAUUAAUAUGCCACCGAAAAAAUCUAAUCUAAACAACGCGAGGAGCAGAGACGCACAACGAAAACGUGUUGAAAGAGCGCAGCUAUCGGCAGAACAAAUCGCAAGAAGAAAUGCAGCUCAAAGAAUCAGGACGGCAAAGAGUCGUGCACAAGAAUCUCAAGAACAGCGUGACGAACGUGUGCGACAGACUAUUGUGAGAACAAAAGCGGCACGAGAACGAAACAUAGUUAAAGCACGAGAACAAGAACGCCGGAGGCAGCGGAUUAGGCGCUCAUUAAGACGUACAUCAUUUGUUCGUCUUGCUUCUGAAUAUACGCCAGAUAUUGACUACCCUGCACAUUCAAAAAUUGCUGUCGUUGGAAUAGAUCAACUAUGUCAAUAUUGUCAGGCAUUGAAAUUUCCGAAUGAAACACCCGGCGGGUGCUGCACAUCAGGAAAAGUUGCGCUAUCACCUCUACCCACUCCUCCGGAACCUUUAUUAUCCCUUCUUGCUGGCGAUUCAGAUGAUUCAAAGUAUUUUUCCGAAUAUACAGAAUAAUUACUUGAAUCACAACUGGCUCAGUCAUCGAGCGAUUUUGGCAGCCACAAAUGUUGAUGUUGACGAAAUUAACUUCCAGAUAUAACAGUUGUUACCAGGCGAUCUGAUGUCUUUUAAAUCAAUCGAUACUGUUGUUGAUGAAAAUGAAAGUGUAAAUUUUCCAAUUGAAUUUUUAAAUUCACUAGAUAUACCUGGAAUGCCACCACGUAAUCUUCGAUUAAAGAUUGGUGCCCCUAUUAUUCUCCUACCUAAUUGGAAUCCACCUCAAUUAUGCAACGGUACGCGUUUCGUCAUCAAAAAGAUCACUGGAAAUAUUCGUGAAGCAACCAUUUUAACUGGGAAGUUUAAAGGAAAAGUGCUCCUGUUGCCACGUAUUCCAAUGAUACCGUCAGAUUCUACCAUACCCUUCAGAAGGCUACAGUAUCCAAUUCGUUUAGCUUUUGAAAACCGUCGAAUUUAUUUGUGUUAGCUAAAGACAGGUUAAACAAAAAUAUUGUCCACCGAUUAGUGCUAAAUUAAAUUAAAAGUAUUUAUAAUUCAAAAUAAUAAAUAUUAUUGUUAAGCAUUUAAGACUCUCUGCUCUCUCUACCUCAUUCAUAAGUUUAAGUGUUACAUGUUAUUUACUAACAACUUGGUAAUAUACUCAUUUGUUACAAAAUUGAAUAAAAAUAAUGAUAAAUUUUAAAAUUAAUUCUUUUGUAUUGAUUUUGGCUUAAUAUCAGCUGCAUGAAAAUUUUAAUUAAUCGUGUUGAAAAUUCUUCCCCUGCAAAUCCCAAUCCAGUGGAUUUUUAUACCAGCUUUAACGUCUUCGUUCGUGAAUAUUAAUUUCAUUGUACUAAAGGGCUACGGUAGUAGAAAAUCUGUCAGGGAGGUCGCCAUAUUUUUUUACAAAUGGUAUCUAGGUAAAAAAGCAUGGUGAUUACCCUCACUGAUGUUCUCCUACCGUUCCUCCUAAAUAGUUCAGUACAAUGUAAUAUAACAAAAACCUUAGCCACAGCAACGCGUGGCCGGGUCUUCGAGUAUGCUAUAUGACCCAUCUAUGCCCUUAGUUAUCCUAUACUAUCCUAUACUAUAUAAAUCGAAAUACGCG